rnacentral:lncRNA from 1 species
CCAGAAGCCCAGAUUAUAUGGUUUGGAGUACAGCAAAGUUAGGGCUUACCUCUCAAGCUCCUUGAAUCCAUAAACCAUUUAGUUAACAGAGACUCAAUCAUGGCCUCUUCCUCAGCCCACCUUUCUCUCUCAGCCACCCAUGGGAUGAGGGAUGGCUAAGCUGAGGGAGAAACCCUUGGCAGGUCAGGAGACAAGCUGAUCACAAAAGUUCAGCCCCCAUCUUGGACAGUCCUCUCCCGGUUGCUCAGCUGUGAACAAGGAAGCUC